AGCCAGACUCCUACGGGAGGCAGCAGUGGGGAAUAUUGCACAAUGGGGGAAACCCUGAUGCAGCGACGCCGCGUGAGCGAUGAAGUAUUUCGGUAUGUAAAGCUCUAUCAGCAGGGAAGAAGGUGACGGUACCUGACUAAGAAGCCCCGGCUAACUACGUGCCAGCAGCCGCGGUAAUACGUAGGGGGCAAGAGUUAUCCGGAUUUACUGGGUGUAAAGGGAGCGUAGACGGCGAUGCAAGCCAGAUGUGAAAGCCCGGGGCUCAACCCCGGGACUGCAUUUGGAACUGUGUGGCUGGAGUGUCGGAGAGGCAGGCGGAAUUCCUAGUGUAGCGGUGAAAUGCGUAGAUAUUAGGAGGAACACCAGUGGCGAAGGCGGCCUGCUGGACGAUGACUGACGUUGAGGCUCGAAAGCGUGGGGAGCAAACAGGAUUAGAUACCCUGGUAAA
rnacentral:rRNA from 1 species